UACGAAGGGUGCAAGCGUUAUUCGGAAUAAUUGGGCGUAAAGGGUGUGUAGGCGACAAUUCAAGUUUGUUGUUAAAUUUCUCAGCCUAACUGAGAGUGUGCAAUAAAUACUGAUUUGAUUGAGGGUGGAAGAGAAAAGUGGAAUUCUCGGAGUAGCGGUAAAAUGCGUAGAUAUCGAGAGGAACACCGAUGGCGAAGGCAAUCCCCUGGACCUGUACUGACGCUCAUGCACGAAAGCGUGGGGAGCAAACAGG
rnacentral:rRNA from 1 species